GUGACAGUUCGUACGUGCCAUCGUCAUAUGAAGAUGAAUCUCUCAGCGAGUCGACGAGUGACAGUUCGUACGUGCCAUCGUCAUAUGAAGAUGAAUCCCUCAGCGAGUCGACGAGUGACAGUUCGUACUUGCCAUCGUCAUACGAAAAUGAAUCCCUCAGCGAGUCGACGAGUGACAGUUCGUACGUGCCAUAGUCAUAUGAAGAUGAAUCACUCAGCGAGUCGACGAGUGACAGUUCGUACGUGCCAUCGUCAUAUGAAGGUGAAUUAGGAUUUCCUGAAGUUGGAAAGCUAACGAACAACAGGUAUGUGCUAUCACCAUAUGAUGAUGAAUCAGAAUCAGUGAGAGAUUGUUAAGAGUGCGAACACUGCAAUGCUAGAAAGCUAGAAGGGUAUUAUUACGAAAGCGAACUCUCAUCUGAAAUUAGUAGUCUGAAGCACUACAGUGCGUAUGUGCCAUCAUUAGAGGAAGAUGAAUCAGAAUUUUCCUCUGAAAGCCAUAGAACGCAAAACUUUUUU